UAUGUGAUCGUCUCUCGCAUAUCAAUAAGCGGAGGAAAAGAAACUAACAAGGAUUCCCCUAGUAACGGCGAGUGAAGCGGGAAGAGCUCAAAUUUGAAAUCUUAAAGGGUUUCCCUUUACGAAUUGUAGUUUAAAGAAGUGUUUUCUGUUGGAGUUUCGGUAAAAGUUCUUUGGAAUAGGACAUCAUAGAGGGUGAGAAUCCCGUAUUUGACCUUUACUUUCAACUUUGUGAUACACUUUCAAAGAGUCGGAUUGUUUGGGAAUGCAGUCCAAAAUGGGUGGUAAAUUUCAUCUAAAGCUAAAUAUUGGCGAGAGACCGAUAGCGAACAAGUACCGUGAGGGAAAGAUGAAAAGAACUUUGAAAAGAGAGUUAAACAGUACGUGAAAUUGUCAAAAGGGGAGCGUUUGACACCAGUGUUGUUUUUCUGAAAAUCAAUUAAAGAACUGUUUAUGCUAAGCUGUUUAGACUUUAUCAGCUAUCUGUUUAGUUUUGAGCUUUUCUUUAAUGCACUUUUCAGUUAACAAGUCAACAUCAAUUUCUUUUGCUGUAAAAAAGCUUGAGGAAGGUGGCUUGGGAUUCGUCUUAAGUGUUUAUAGCCUCUUGCCUAUGCAGUCGGAGAGAUUGAGGUCUGCAGCGUAGAUCCUUCGGGGCUAAAUGCAUUUGUGCUAAGUUAUAGCAUUUUAUAGACAACUUGUUGACUAUGAUUUGUCUUGUAGCUUACUCGCUUAUGUUAUUUUACCUACGCUUAGGAUGUUGAUAUGCAUGACUGAUAU
rnacentral:rRNA from 1 species